UACGAAGGGGGCUAGCGUUGCUCGGAAUCACUGGGCGUAAAGCGCACGUAGGCGGUCUCUUAAGUCGGUGGUGAAAUCCUGGAGCUCAACUCCAGAACUGCCUUCGAUACUGAGAGUCUCGAGUCCGGGAGAGGUGAGUGGAACUGCGAGUGUAGAGGUGAAAUUCGUAGAUAUUCGCAAGAACACCAGUGGCGAAGGCGGCUCACUGGCCCGGUACUGACGCUGAGGUGCGAAAGCGUGGGGAGCAAACAGG
rnacentral:rRNA from 1 species